GGCAGCAGCAAGCUGAUUACACAGGGAAAAGCUUCUAUCUAAAUACACAUAGCAUAACAAUCACCCCUGGAAAAACUACAUGGCUUACCAAAAGAGUUCUCUCUGUUCACUGUCCAUUAUCUGUUAGCUGAACUAGUUCAAAUGAAUAACAACCAUACAAACGCAUAUAUACACAAAUAUACAUAUGCUUCAAUGAAAAGCAGGCAUGCAGCUGAUAGCUCAGCAACCCUGAGCACAGAAUUUUGAAGAGGGAAUACACUAAAAUGGAAGAACAUAACUACAUGACAUCAUAAGAAAUCCUGAAUUAGAAGCGUAUAUUUGAAAGGUCAUGCAUCCUGAGCUGCCAACGGCUUAAAAACCAGAGGCAGAGGCCAGCUUUGCCAGCUCACUGCUUCUACUCAUCUUUCAUGAUACUAGCCAGGCUGAACAUAGUUCCAGGAUGAUAAUGAAAUUGGCUGGGCGUGCUGUUUAUAUUAGUUAGUAUGUAUUGCCUGUACUAAACCAAGUAUCAUGAGGUCAGCACUAUUUUGCCACUUUUCAGAAAGAAAAUAUGAACACUUCAAAACACAGUAAGCCUUUUUAAAAGUAUAUAUUUGAUUUUGAAAUAAUCAAAAUGUAUGUAGGGAUAUGACUGCAUCCUAAGAUUUAUGAUAAGUUCUGAUGAAUAAUAUUUUCUUUCUACAUGCAAGGCAAAGUUAAUAGUAACUAGAAAGUCUUUAUUUGGCAUAGCAUAGAUUUCUGUCGACCAAAACAACUCACUCUGGGAAACAUAAGCUUCUGACAACUUCAGAAGAGUUAAGUCACAGACAAAAGUUUAUUGG